UACGAGGGGGGCGAGCGUUGUUCGGAAUCACUGGGCGUAAAGGGCGCGUAGGCGGCUCAUGAAGGCUGUGGUGAAAGUCCGGGGCUCAACCUCGGAUCGGCCGUGGCGACUCGUGGGCUGGAGCACUGUAGAGGCGGGUGGAAUUCCGGGUGUAGCGGUGGAAUGCGUAGAGAUCCGGAAGAACACCAGUGGCGAAGGCGGCCCGCUGGGCAGUGGCUGACGCUGAGGCGCGACAGCGUGGGGAGCAAACAGG
rnacentral:rRNA from 1 species